GGAGAAGACUGGGUGAUCGCUUGGAGCGGGAACGCUCUGAGAGGAAAGUCCGGACUUCAUGGGCAGGGCACUGGGUAACUCCCAGGCGGAGCGAUCCGACACCAGCACCACAGAGAACAAACCGCCGAUGGCCAAGGCGAUCGGAUUCCAAUCUGGUUGCAGUGGCUCAGGUAAGGGUGAAACGGUGGGGUAAGAGCCCACCGCGGUGGUGGCGACAUCACCGGCACGGUAAGCGUCGCCCGAUGCAAGGCCAAAUAGGAAGACAUUUGUCGGUUUUCUUCGGAGAGCCGACGACCGGCUGGCCCAGCCGAGGUCUUCGGGUAGGUCGCUUGAGGUUCGAGGUAACUCGGAUCCCAGAGAAAUGAUCACCCCCGUUUGGGAUCAAAUCCCAGGCGGGACAGAAUCCGGCUUAUAGGUCUUCUCCACCG
rnacentral:RNase_P_RNA from 2 species